ACUAACAGGAUUUUCUUAGUAGCGGCGAGCGAAAAGAAAAUAGUUCAGCACUAAGUCACUUUGUCUUUAUGGCAAAUGUGAGAUGCAGUGUAUGGAAUGUCAAAUUUCUAGUAUGAGAAAUUAACGAUUUAAGUCCUUCUUAAAUGAGACCAUUUACCCAAAGAGGGUGCCAGGCCCGUAUAACGUUAAUGAUUACUAGAUGGCAUUUCCAAAGAGUCGUGUUGCUUGAUAGUGCAGCACUAAGUGGGUGGUAAACUCCAUCUAAAACUAAAUAUAACCAUGAGACCGAUAGUAAACAAGUACCGUGAGGGAAAGUUGAAAAGAACUCUGAAUAGAGAGUUAAAUAGUACGUGAAACUGCUUAGAGGUUAAGCCCGAUGAACCUGAAUAUCCGUUAUGGAAAAUUCAUCUUUAUGAUUUUAAUAUUUAUAAUAUUAUAAUAAUGGUGUGCAUUUUUUCUAUAAAGGACAUUGUAAUCUAUUAACAUAAAUAUAUUUAUCAUAAGAUCAUUUGCUUAAGUUUAUUCAAAUUAUUUUGCUUGCAUUUUAAUAUCGAAUAAAUGCUUUUGAUUUGAUAAAGUGUUGAUAGAUUUAUUAUAUAUAGUGCUUAAAUAUUUAUAUUUUAUAAUAGCAUAUUGAUCAUUGAUCUUUAUGUUUAUUAUAUGCACUUAUAUGAUUAACAAUGCGAAAGAUUCAGGAUACCUUCGGGACCCGUCUUGAAAC
rnacentral:rRNA from 1 species